AGUACUAGACAAGCCUCUGAAUUUAUGAAUGUGUUAGUCACGAGUGAAGGAAGACAUAAAUACAGCUACUGACAGUCUUGCAUUUAAGACUGUGUGUGUGCAGAUGUGUGUUCCUGUGUGGUCAGAUGUGCAUGGAUGUGGCUGCAUAUACUUACACAUGUGCCUCUGGGCACUAGAGGACUACUUUGACUGUCUUUUCUGAGGAGCACAUUGCUUUUGGAGACAGCGCCUUUCAUUGACCAAGAACUCACCAAGUCUGCACAACUGGCCAGCCAGCUAGCUUCAGAGAGUCCCAUAUCCCCAGGCCCCUAGGCUGGGAUUGCAAGCAUGGUCCACCACGCCUGGCUUUUCUUAUGUAGUACCUGGUGGAAUCAAACUUGGACCCUUUGGCUUACAGCAUAAUUCAGCAGCUGAGCCAUUGCUCCAGCCUAAUUUCUGUGCUAGUGUGCGUGUGUGUAUGUGUGUGUAUGUGUACAUGUGUGUAUGUGUGUGUGCUCGCACACAUGCACAUCUUAAAUGACAGCUGCUUUAUAAACAUUAUCACUGACCUUCUCUUUUGUCUCUUUAGAGUUGGAGGUUUUGCCUUUGCCAUGUAAACUUGCUAUGCAUAUCUCUCAUGAGAAGACUUAGCAGUGCUCUUGACCCUAGCCUAAGCACUGUGGAACUGCUGUGUGGUGGUGGUCUUUUGUUUUUUGUUUUGUAUUGUUUUGUUUUUUCUUUCUUUCUGUUUUUUGUUUUGUUUUUUUUACAAGGAAGAGGUGCAUGAAGAACAUUCCUUUUUAAAAUGUCAUGGUAAAGUUCUAAUUACUUUAGAGAGUUGAGCUCUUUCUAAACAUCCUGGACCUGUAGGCCUCUCAGCAAAUGAGAGAUUCCCUGUGGAUUCAUGCAUUCCGAGUUGAGCUCAGAGUGUUGAUACACACUGCAGCUGUUUGUUUGGUCGCUCUACUCUGAGUACAAAGGUGUCCUUCUGAGGCCCUCCCCCAGAGCCUUUUACUCCACAUCUCCUUGAUACCCCAGAUGACACAGCUAAGUUUCUGUGUGUUCUGAGGGAAUUAAGUGGGACUUCCAAAGAUGUUCCUUUGACAAAUGCCAGCGGUUAUGACGUAAUCAUCUUCUCUAAAGAAAUAAGUAAUCGCUAGCUCUGACUU
rnacentral:lncRNA from 1 species